rnacentral:rRNA from 1 species
AGUGAACGCUGGCGGCGUGCCUAACACAUGCAAGUCGAACGAUGAUGGAGAGCUUGCUCUCCUGAUUAGUGGCGCACGGGUGAGUAUACCAUAGAUAAUGUACCUCUUAGUUCGGGAUAGCCACUGGAAACGGUGAUUAAUACCGGAUACUCCUUCUUGUCCUAAGGCAAGUCGGGAAAGUUUUUCGCUAAGAGAUCAGUCUAUGUCCUAUCAGCUAGUUGGUGAGGUAAUGGCUCACCAAGGCUAUGACGGGUAUCUGGUUUGAGAGGAUGAUCAGACACACUGGAACUGAGACACGGUCCAGACUCCUACGGGAGGCAG